CCUACGGGUGGCUGCAGUGGGGAAUAUUGGACAAUGGGCGAAAGCCUGAUCCAGCCAUGCCGCGUGUGUGAAGAAGGCCUUCGGGUUGUAAAGCACUUUCAGUGGGGAAGAAAGCCUUGGGGCUAAUACCCUCGAGGAAGGACAUCACCCACAGAAGAAGCACCGGCUAACUCCGUGCCAGCAGCCGCGGUAAUACGGAGGGUGCGAGCGUUAAUCGGAAUUACUGGGUGUAAAGCGCGCGUAGGCGGUCUGAUAAGCCGGUUGUGAAAGCCCCGGGCUCAACCUGGGAACGGCAUCCGGAACUGUCAGGCUAGAGUGCAGGAGAGGAAGGUAGAAUUCCCGGUGUAGCGGUGAAAUGCGUAGAGAUCGGGAGGAAUACCAGUGGCGAAGGCGGCCUUCUGGACUGACACUGACGCUGAGGUGCGAAAGCGUGGGUAGCAAACAGGAUUAGAUACCCGUGUAGUC
rnacentral:rRNA from 1 species